rnacentral:rRNA from 1 species
GGUAAGUACGGGCAGGGGGCUGCGGUAGUACGUGGUGUGCAGGCGUUGUCGGGAAUUAUUGGGCGUAAGGGGUGUGUAGGUGGUUUGGCGCGUCUGCUGUGGAAACGCAAGGCUCAACCUGGCGCGUGCAGUGGGUACGGGCGAACUAGAGUGCAGUAGGGGAGUCUGGAAUUCCUGGUGUAGCGGUGAAAUGCGCAGAUAUCAGGAGGAACACCGGUGGCGAAGGCGGGACUCUGGGCUGUAACUGACGCUGAGGAGCGAAAGCAUGGGGAGCGAACAGGAUUAGAUACCCGUGUAGUC